rnacentral:lncRNA from 1 species
GGAAAUGCGUGUUCUAGCUUUCUGUGUGCUUAGGUGCCCGAGCUACUGAGGGUCUAAGUCCGGGCAGCCGAAGAGUGUGGUUAGCAAGAUGAACAAAGAUGCGCAGAUGAGAGCAGCGAUUAACCAAAAGUUGAUAGAAACUGGAGAAAGAGAACGCCUCAAAGAGUUGCUGAGAGCUAAAUUAAUUGAAUGUGGCUGGAAGGAUCAGUUGAAGGCACACUGUAAAGAUAAUGAUUUUAAAUGAUAUGAUUUGUUUUUUGCUUUUGCAUAAGAGGUAAUUAAAGAAAAAGGACUAGAACACGUUACUGUUGAUGACUUGGUGGCUGAAAUCACUCCAAAAGGCAGAGCCCUGGUACCUGACAGUGUAAAGAAGGAGCUCCUACAAAGAAUAAGAACAUUCCUUGCUCAGCAUGCCAGCCUUUAAGAUUGAAUUAGAUUGUGUUGUUGUGGUUUUAUUUCUGAAAGUAAAACUUGCCAUAAAUUAGAAAACAAUUUCCCAAAAUAAAAUCCUUUUUUGUAUGAUGGUAUACAGUUUUCAGUAAUGAUGUAUACAUUGUAUUGAUUUUU